AACAGCCGGUCACACGUUGUACCAAUUUAUUUACCUUUGGCACAUCAAAAUGUGGUGUAGCUAACGUUUUUAAAAAAACGCCCGUUAUGUUAGCUUACUAGUUUGCCAUUAGCCAAAUUUCCAGGGGUAAGCUCCUUAGACUUCCAGUGGUAUAAAUAAGAUCAAAUACCAUGUUUUAGCUAGACUCACUGUUUGCUAGGGCUGGAUACUUCUGUAAACAAAGUCCCCCAAAGUCACCAUGGGACAAGACUAUCACCUGGACACUGACCACUUAAGCUCCAGCCACAAGAAGAAAUGGCUAUCAGCAUCAGCGCGGCUUUGGCCCUUUGUCGUCCUCCUCCCCUCCUGUCUCUGCUCUCUAUGAGAGGUCUUUUCCUGUUGCCCUUAUCUACGAAGGAGCCAGCAACGUUGACGUACUUCCAUGUUGUACUGGGCGAGCUGUACUCUCCAAACAAACACACUGGAGCUGAGAGAGACGGAGAGACACUCUGGCAAAAAGAAGAUCAAGAUAAAGGGAAAAAAAAAUACCGCCAGGGAGGGACUGUUUUUUUUUAAAACAAGAUACCAGAGAGAGAAGAAAGUCCUGGUGGGUUUGUUGUGCUGUGUGCACUGUGUGCAUACUGACAAGCACCUCGCUCCAAAUCGCCACAGUCACACCCAACGGAGCUCAUCAUUCGUGAGCAACACGCUGCUAUUUCAUCUCAGCCCCCCCCCCACCACCCACCACCACCUCUUUUACACAUCACUCUUUGGGUUGUGCAGCGAUGCCUGAUAUUGAAUGGUACUGAAUGAAAUGCUGGAGAGAGACUUGGAGUGGAGUAGAUGCUGGCUUUCAUCCAGUAACCUGCCAUCAUUCAUCUGGGCAACAGGGGUUAUUGAGAACAAUCGCAGACGGAGAGAGAGAAGUGUGCUGACAGGCUUUAUAUGUGUGAUGAUGUGUAUGGCUCCUUCUGCAAAGAGCCUGAGAAAAUGUUUUUCAUUCCGCCCUUUCUGCCAUUGUUACAGGGAAGCAGACGUUUUUGGAAAGCUAGAUAAGAUAAAUAAUUCUACGGUAUGAAGCAAGAAAUGCUUUACAGCACUGUGGCAGCAGCAGCAGAGGCAAGUGGAGAAGCAACAGGGGCCUAACUGGCUUGAUAUUUUUACUUUGCAGCCCUUGCAUUGAGUAGAAAAGAAGAAAGUCAGAAUUGAAAACUGCUUCCCCAGCUAACCUAGACUGACCAUGUCUCCAACCUAUUACUGAACUGAGCACACAGAUUAAACUGAUGUUGACCUUCUGGUCUAACUCCUGGUGAACAAGGAAAACAAACACGGUGCUGUCAGACUUUUUUAAAGAAGAGUAAUGUUACCAAUAUGAGUGAGCGCUCUUUAUGGUUUCAUCACAUGGGUCCUUUCUUUUUCUAACAUUUGAACUUUGGUCACACUAAUACAGUAUGUAUUAUGUAUUCAAAAACAACAGCUCUGUGUUUUUCUUUUAAAUCUUUUUUUGUGCAUUUAAUUAAAGACCACAU